AUGUACAUAUAUGGUUUAAGACAGAUUAGGGCAGGCACAACAAUGGACAACAACAAUGGGAACGAAACUUGCAGACGUCACAAACUGAUAAGCAACAGCAGCAGCAGCAGCAGCAAUGAGCGAGCGAGAAAGCGAGAAGCAGACAAGGAACAAGAGAGACAGAGUCGGGUCUGUACUUCUUCUUGUUGUUAGGAUUUCGGAAAAUUUUCCGAAUUGAUAAGAGCAUUUUUAAAUACAUUUUGCGAGCGAUCCCUAGCAUCAGAUAGUAUGCUAUAUAUGCUAUAUAUAAAUACAAUAUGUUUACAAAAAAAAUUCCCCUCGCCGAAUCCCAAAAUGCACUCAACAACGCCUGGAAUUCGAUAUGAUAUGAUAGCUAGGGAUAGAUAUGAGUACGACUUUGAAUACCAAGAACACUAAAGAAUCAAUCCAAUUAUGAUUUAUCUAUAAGAAUUUCGCUGGAAUCUAGAAUCACAAAAGUUGAAUGGAAUCACGUGACUAAGUGAAAUGACGAAACUCAUUCAAGAAUAGAUCAACAAUAUGAUAUUGUAUCGAACAUAUCAAUCUUAUCAUUCCAUGCAAACAACGUCAAAUUGUUUUGCCAUAUCAGAUCAAUGUUUUCAUUUCUGUUUCUGUCUCAUUUUGUUUUUUUUUGUUUGUCUAUUUUUAAAAUUCCAGUUUAAUGACUGUACUGUAUAAUAGUCGCAACUUCCAGUUGAGGGGAGGAAAUGGAAAAUUUGCCAAUGAAAGAGAAAAUAAAAGAAAAGUAUUUGAAUUGAGCAUUGCAUGUGAAGGCGAAUGCGAAUGCGAAUGUAAUAUGCAUAUGACUCAGCGGCCAUUUGCAGCAGCGAGUGCCGACUCACUUUGUUGUCGUCCCCUUGACCUUCAGUUGUUGUGGCGCAAGGGAAACAAACAAAGUUUCACCAACCUCUCUCUCUCUCUCUUUAUAUCCCAACUACCAUAUAUGUACAUAUAUCAUCCAUAGUAUCCACAUCUACCACCCACUAAUCACUCUCCAGCCCUAAUCAUUCUCUAGCCCUGGCCACCUUCAUUCCAUACACACACACACACACACAUGUACACACGCAUACAAUUUCCGUUCACUAAUUACACAAACAAAUAGCAAAGAAGCAAGUGAAUAAAGAACAAAAAUAAAUAUAAUACACAAUAAACAAAACAGACGCCAAAAUGGCAGGCAAAUUGAACAAUAGAAACCAAAUGGAAUUUAUCUACAUAUGUAUAUAUGUAUAUUCAUUAUGCUUCUUCUUCUUAUUAUUGAACAUUCGAAUAUGGAAGAAAGCCGACUCUGAUGAUUGAAAAUCAAUGAAAAUAAUAAUGUGAUUAGAAUUUCGUAGUGGGAAUUGCAUUAAAAAAAUAUAGAUAUAUGGCGGCAAAAUAAAGAAAAUGGCAAAUUACUAAUCCAUUUUGAUAAGGACAAAUCUACAGAAGAUCGAUGAAAUUGUCAAUUAAUAUUUAAUGCAAUCAACAGUAAAUGCAAUACAAUAAUUGUGUGAUUCAAGCAUCUGUUAAAAAAAGAAAUAUCCAGUUCGAUCGAAUAGAAACUGCAUCAAAAAUUAAUAAAUCGUCGAACAGUAAAUCGGUGAAAAGGUUAAUUAAUAAAUAAUCCAAUUAACUACAGCAAGUGUAGAUGCAACAACAAAUCGCGUGUUUCAACUAGCUAUUUAUAUUCAUUUCUUUUAUGUGGUUUGAUAAAUGCAUCAAAAAUUAAUUACAAAUCGAUGAAAAUGCUAGUUAAUAAUUUAUGUAAUAACUUACAAUAGCUUGUUGAGUAAGAAAGGUUAUGAAAUGCUUUCCCACUGUUGACAUUUCCCC